UAAAGAGGGAGGAAGAAAUAAAAAGGGAGGAAGAAAUAGAGAGAGAGCGUAAACGGUCCCCUAAUAGCUCUGUGCAAUCGUCCUCUUGCAUCGUUCCUUCUUCCUCCUCUUCUUCCCCUCCUU
rnacentral:ribozyme from 12 species